GGGGAAUCUUCCGCAAUGGGCGAAAGCCUGACGGAGCAAUACCGCGUGAGGGAGGAAGGCCUUUGGGUUGUAAACCUCUUUUCUCAGGGAAGAAGUUCUGACGGUACCUGAGGAAUAAGCAUCGGCUAACUCCGUGCCAGCAGCCGCGGUAAUACGGAGGAUGCAAGCGUUAUCCGGAAUUAUUGGGCGUAAAGCGUCCGCAGGUGGUUUGGCAAGUCUGCUGUCAAAGACCGGAGCUCAACUCCGGGCAGGCAGUGGAAACUGCCAGACUAGAGUACGGUAGGGGUAGAGGGAAUUCCCAGUGUAGCGGUGAAAUGCGUAGAGAUUGGGAAGAACACCGGUGGCGAAAGCGCUCUACUGGGCCGUAACUGACACUCAGGGACGAAAGCUAGGGUAGCGAAAGGGAUUAGAUACCCCAGUAG
rnacentral:rRNA from 1 species